GUAUCCUUCAGAAAGCCUGGGCAAUAAACCGAAGGCUCCGAAAAAGAGCAAAGUGUCUGGUGAGUCAAGUAGAAUCUCAAAGCUGAACUAAAUUUGAUGAAUCUGGACUUUGCCAGCCCUGAAGAAGAAUAAGCUUGGAGGAACUCUUCAAGUAGCUAGUGCAUUUGUGUUGCUGUCAGCAAAAUAGCCAGUUGGAGAGCUAUGCUGUUCUCCACUAAAAGAAUUGUAGAACCAUUGGGCUUUAAUAGGUUUGAAAGACUGUAUAAUUGAAUUUAUAAUCAUCUGGCUUAGAAAAUAUGCAAAAUCACAUUCAUAGUGAGUAGAUGAGUUACGGUAUCCAUGGACAAUUCUGAUAGGAAAUAUUGGUUAUAUCUGGUGAAACCCAUGAUAAACCAAAGGCACGUUAAGGGCAGAUGGUUGGAGUUGGGGUAUGAGUGUUGGUCAUAUGGUGGAGGGGAAAAGACCAGGAUGUUAGGAUCAUGCAGAAAUUAUGUGGUUGCCCUACAGAAAUGAUAAGCCAUAAAGUUCCACUCUGGCCAGUGUUUUAAGUCGAUGCUAGAAAAGAAAAACAAUAGUGACACAGGGGUUGGUUAUUUGUUUUCCACAGGCCAAGAAUAUGUCAAAAUAAAGCCCAAUAGGAUGUAUAUUCAGUGGUCAAGUAGACUGAGAGAUGUUAACGCACUUAUUCAUGGCAUCAUUUCAGAUUUUGCCUAUAGUAGGCAUUCAAAAGAUGUUUGUUAAAUUUUAUAAAUAAACAAAAGCUAUAUCAGCAUGGCCUUUUUCUAAUCCAAAACCUGGGCACACAGCCAAGAUAAACUCAGGCUGUCCAAAAGCCAUGCGCGCUCUCGCCAGAAUCAUCAAUUCUCUCCAGUCAUUUCACUAUGAAGAAGGCCUGGAUGAACUUGGUGGGAAAGUCCCAUUAGCUGCCACUCUUGGAUUGCAUAUCUACAUAUCCUUCAGAUUUUAUGUCCCUGAUCUAUUUGUGUUCUUGCUGGUCCUGAUUUUAAAUUAUUGCUUUUCCUUUUAAUAUUGUUCUGAUUUAUUUUUAUAUGUUACUCAAUAUUCUUUAAUGACAGCAAAUAAUGAUAAAAAUAAUAGCUGCCAUGGCCUAUGGAGGCUUCCUAUGACAGAAACUCUUCUAAGAUAAAAUUUCAUCCUCAUGACAACUCAUAACCUUUGAGAAAGUUUCUAUAGAUUUCUAUUUUACUACUAAAAAUACUGUGGUUUAGUGAGAUUAUACAAUUUACUCAAAUUCACAAAGAUAGGAAAUGCUUCAGCUGGGAUGCAAACCUCUAUCUAAGAGAAAAACCCGAUUUCCUCGUUGCUAUAUAUACCAUUAAUUUGGAGCAAAGCAGAAUCACUUAAAAAUCCUUUUAAGUGAUGAUUAAAUAAAUCAUCAAUUGUUAAACAAUGAUUAGAUUCUUAAUUAUUUUCAGUCAUUUGUUUAGCACUAAAUAUAACAACAAUAAUAGUAAUAAUAAUAAUGGUAACCCAUCUGCCUGUGUUCUUAAGUGUCUUAUAUAUUAGCUGUGGAAAUAAGACAUAUAUGAUGAACUGUUAAAAACCAUAGAAGAGAAUUUAUACCUAAAUAUGCUCAUGUAUUAAGUAGUACAACAAAGUCAUCUGGAAAUUUUAAAAUGAAAGGAAAUCUGCAAAUAUUAAGUCAACUGGGCAUUUCUUUUCAGGAAAUGAAAAUUAAGCUGAAUCUGAAGGGUGCUAAGAAUAAAAUUGAUGGAGGUAAAGACAGAGACUUCUACAUAAAGGAAAUAGUUAGAAAUUAAGCACAGAGACAAAAAUAAAAGAGUGUUUUGUGGGGGCAGAGUGAUUGGGCAUAUCCAAGAAACAGGAUAUAUUAAGUAGGUUCAUAAUAAGGUUUAAAUGCUACAAAAGUUCUAAGCCUAGAUGCUUGGAAACAAAAUUUGACCAAGAAUUUGGGUAAUAAAUUUGAAGAAUAAAAUGAGAAGCUUAAUUUGCAUGUGUUCAGUUUAAAAUGAUAUCUGGUUGGAAAUACCAAAUUGUAGAGCUGGAGACAUUGUACUGGGAAUUGAGUAACGGUCAGGAUUUAUUACACUGGGACAGAAGAGACCAACACAUAGAAUACACUGAAGGUCAGGUUCUGUCCAGAAACCACUCAACACCAGAGCAUUAAUGAAUAUGUGAAUAAGUAAGUACAUCUUAGCUCAGGCAAGGAAACUGAUUUAAAAUGUAAGAAAUCUGUAUGGAUGGGAGAAAGAAGUGGAAAUCAAUUUAAGGGAAAAAAAGCAAAAUCAGAAUAGACAAUCUCUCUUCUGAGGCCCUAGUCAUAUGUUGCUAACUAUAGAGGAGUCAUUAGAUAAAAGUGUGUACAUUUGGAAGCAAACAAAGACUGCAUCCCAUGAGAUUUUGGAAGCUAUGAUUACUAUAAAGAGCAUUAGACUCUCAAAAAUAUUCUUAAAAUACUAUACAUAAAAAUAGCUAAUAUUUAAAGGCUCAUAAAAUUCUUGAACAGGUACUAGCCAUUUAAGAAGUGAUGGUAGAAAGAGAAAUGUAUAGGUCAGAGAACAGUCCUUGGAAAAUGAAAGGAGUUAGGAAGUAAAAGAGAAAAUCAGGGGAAAUAAAUGAAAGAAUGACAGGG
rnacentral:antisense_RNA from 1 species